GACGAGGGAUCCUAGCGUUGUUCGGAAUCACUGGGCGUAAAGCGCACGUAGGCGGACUCUUAAGUCGGUGGUGAAAUCCUGGAGCUCAACUCCAGAACUGCCUUCGAUACUGAGAGUCUCGAGUCCGGGAGAGGUGAGUGGAACUGCGAGUGUAGAGGUGAAAUUCGUAGAUAUUCGCAAGAACACCAGUGGCGAAGGCGGCUCACUGGCCCGGUACUGACGCUGAGGUGCGAAAGCGUGGGGAGCAAACAGG
rnacentral:rRNA from 1 species